UUGACCUCGAAUCAGGUAGGGAUACCCGCUGAACUUAAGCAUAUCAAUAAGCGGAGGAAAAGAAACCAACAGGGAUUACCUCAGUAACGGCGAGUGAAGCGGUAACAGCUCAAAUUUGAAAUCUGGUCCGUUUACGGGCCCGAGUUGUAAUUUGUAGAAGAUGCUUUGGUGACGAGUCCGGCCUAAGUUCCUUGGAACAGGACGUCAUAGAGGGUGAGAACCCCGUAUGCGGCCGGGUGCUCGAUGCUAUGUAAAGCUCUUUCGACGAGUCGAGUUGUUUGGGAAUGCAGCUCAAAAUGGGUGGUAAAUUUCAUCUAAAGCUAAAUAUUGGCCAGAGACCGAUAGCGCACAAGUAGAGUGAUCGAAAGAUGAAAAGCACUUUGGAAAGAGAGUUAAACAGUACGUGAAAUUGUUGAAAGGGAAGCGCUUGCAACCAGACUUGGGCACUGUGGAUCAUCCGAGGUUCUCCUCGGUGCACUCGGCAGUGCGCAGGCCAGCAUCAGUUUGGGUGGUUGGAUAAAGACUUGUGGAAUGUAGCUCCUUUCGGGGAGUGUUAUAGCCACAGGUGCCAUGCGACCAACCCGGACUGAGGACCGCGCUUCGGCUAGGAUGCUGGCGUAAUGGUUGUAAGCGACCCGUCUUGAAACACGGACCAAGGAGUCUAACAUCUAUGCGAGUGUUUGGGUGUUAAACCCAUACGCGGAAUGAAAGUGAACGUAGGUGAGAACCCAUAAGGGGGCAUCAUCGACCGAUCCGGAUGUCUUCGGAUGGAUUUGAGUAAGAGCAUAGCUGUUGGGACCCGAAAGAUGGUGAACUAUGCCUGAAUAGGGUGAAGCCAGAGGAAACUCUGGUGGAGGCUCGCAGNCGGUUCUGACGUGCAAAUCGAUCGUCAAAUUUGGGUAUAGGGGCGAAAGACUAAUCGAACCAUCUAGUAGCUGGUUCCUGCCGAAGUUCCCCUCAGGAANGCAA
rnacentral:rRNA from 1 species